rnacentral:rRNA from 1 species
AAUAUGUCGAAAGGGAGGGAACUCUGACGCAGCGACUCCGCGUGAGCGAUGAAGGUCUUCGGAUCGUAACGCUCUGUCCUUGGGGAAGAAGGUCUUCGGCCUUGACGGUAGCUAAGGAGGAAGCCCCGGCUAACUACGGGCCAGCAGCCGCGGUAAUACGUAGGGGGCGAGCGUUAUCCGGAAUUAUUGGGCGUAAAGGGUGCGGAGGCGGCCUUUUAAGUCAGAUGUGAAAGGCUACGGCUUAACCGUAGUUAGCAUUUGAAACUAAAAGGCUUGAGUGCAGGAGAGGAGAGUGGAAUUCCUAGUGUAGCGGUGAAAUGCGUAGAUAUUAGGAGGAACACCAGUGGCGAAGGCGACUCUCUGGACUGCAACUGACGCUGAGGCACGAAAGCGUGGGGAGCGAACA